rnacentral:rRNA from 1 species
AACGAACGCUGGCGGCAUGCCUAACACAUGCAAGUCGAACGAGACCUUCGGGUCUAGUGGCGCACGGGUGCGUAACGCGUGGGAACCUGCCCUUAGGUUCUGAAUAACUCCCCGAAAGGGGUGCUAAAACCGGAUAAUGUCUUCGGACCAAAGAUUUAUCGCCUUUGGAUGGGCCCGCGUUGGAUUAGCUAGUUGGUAGGGUAAAAGCCUACCAAGGCGACGAUCCAUAGCUGGUCUGAGAGGAUGAUCAGCCACACUGGGACUGAGACACGGCCCAGACUCCUACGGGAGGCAGCAGUGGGGAAUAUUGGACAAUGGGCGAAAGCCUGAUCCAGCAAUGCCGCGUGAGUGAUGAAGGCCUUAGGGUUGUAAAGCUCUUUUACCCGGGAUGAUAAUGACAGUACCGGGAGAAUAAGCUCCGGCUAACUCCGU